rnacentral:snRNA from 1 species
GUACCUUUCUCGGCCUUUUGGCUAACAUCUGUUCUUAUUAGUUUAAUAUCUGAUACGUGAGUUCUUAUCCUCGCAAUGAUAUUAAAUUUUAUAUGUUUUGGGGGAGAGCCCGUUAUUGUAGCUUGCUACCUGGGCCACUGAGUGUCGCCCUAGCGUAGCACUAUUGAUUGGGCCCACACCCCAACC